GGUCAAGUGAAGAAGCGCAUACGGUGGAUGCCUUGGCAGUCAGAGGCGAUGAAAGACGUGGUAGCCUGCGAAAAGCUUCGGGGAGUCGGCAAACAGACUUUGAUCCGGAGAUGUCUGAAUGGGGGAACCCAGCCAUCAUAAGAUGGUUAUCUUACGCUGAAUACAUAGGCGUAAGAGGCGAACCAGGGGAACUGAAACAUCUAAGUACCCUGAGGAAAAGAAAUCAACCGAGAUUCCCUUAGUAGUGGCGAGCGAACGGGGACUAGCCCUUAAGUGGCUUUGAGAUUAGCGGAACGCUCUGGAAAGUGCGGCCAUAGUGGGUGAUAGCCCUGUACGCGAAAAUCUCUUAGUCAUGAAAUCGAGUAGGACGGAGCACGAGAAACUUUGUCUGAAUAUGGGGGGACCAUCCUCCAAGGCUAAAUACUACUGACUGACCGAUAGUGAACUAGUACCGUGAGGGAAAGGCGAAAAGAACCCCGGAGAGGGGAGUGAAAUAGAUCCUGAAACCGUAUGCGUACAAGCAGUGGGAGCCCACUUUGUUGGGUGACUGCGUACCUUUUGUAUAAUGGGUCAGCGACUUAUUUUCAGUGGCGAGCUUAACCGAAUAGGGGAGGCGUAGCGAAAGCGAGUCUUAAUAGGGCGUCUAGUCGCUGGGAAUAGACCCGAAACCGGGCGAUCUAUCCAUGGGCAGGUUGAAGGUUGGGUAACACUAACUGGAGGACCGAACCGACUACCGUUGAAAAGUUAGCGGAUGACCUGUGGAUCGGAGUGAAAGGCUAAUCAAGCUCGGAGAUAGCUGGUUCUCCUCGAAAGCUAUUUAGGUAGCGCCUCAUGUAUCACUGUAGGGGGUAGAGCACUGUUUCGGCUAGGGGGUCAUCCCGACUUACCAAACCGAUGCAAACUCCGAAUACCUACAAGUGCCGAGCAUGGGAGACACACGGCGGGUGCUAACGUCCGUCGUGAAAAGGGAAACAACCCAGACCGUCAGCUAAGGUCCCAAAGUUAUGGUUAAGUGGGAAACGAUGUGGGAAGGCUUAGACAGCUAGGAGGUUGGCUUAGAAGCAGCCACCCUUUAAAGAAAGCGUAAUAGCUCACUAGUCGAGUCGGCCUGCGCGGAAGAUGUAACGGGGCUCAAACCAUACACCGAAGCUACGGGUAUCACGUAAGUGAUGCGGUAGAGGAGCGUUCUGUAAGCCUGUGAAGGUGAGUUGAGAAGCUUGCUGGAGGUAUCAGAAGUGCGAAUGCUGACAUGAGUAACGACAAUGGGUGUGAAAAACACCCACGCCGAAAGACCAAGGUUUCCUGCGCAACGUUAAUCGACGCAGGGUUAGUCGGUCCCUAAGGCGAGGCUGAAAAGCGUAGUCGAUGGAAAACAGGUUAAUAUUCCUGUACUUCUGGUUAUUGCGAUGGAGGGACGGAGAAGGCUAGGCCAGCUUGGCGUUGGUUGUCCAAGUUUAAGGUGGUAGGCUG
rnacentral:rRNA from 1 species